UUCCCUGACGUGUCAAAAUGUCGAGGCCUAUCAUAGCUUGUUCAAAUCAGCUCAGCUUUGGCCCUCUAACAGAAAGUGGCGUUUAACCAUCCUUCAGUGAAAUUUCUGAUGACCGAGUUCCUAUUUUGGCACAGGAAGUGCGCUCACCUUCUCCCUCUCCGUACUUGGCGCUGUGUGCCCACGUUAUGCCAGCCUGGAAACCCAGCUCUCGGCACACCACGUUGGCCAGUUUGAUGUUCACCUCGUCGUCGCAGACGGUCCCCCAGGUGUUGUUGUGCAGCACCUCCACGCGGCCCUCGUGCGGCUCGCGCGCGAAGUUGCCCGCCAGACGCACCUUGGCGGCUGGCGCGCGAGCCGGCCGGCGCUGAGAGGCCGUGGCCCGCCGAGGUUCGGCGCGAGCGGGAGAGCUGGGGGACAGCAGGAGGAGGAGGAGGCUGAGGCAGAGGGCGCGGGUCAUCGUGACGGCGAGGACGGGGCCUGCAGUGAAGGUGCAACUGGGUGGCAGGAUGGUAGUCCCUCCCUGACUGGUAAACCCGAACAGGAAGAGCAGACCCCGUAUUAGCGGGGCCAAAUCAGAGGGAUCUCCAAGGCCGACAGGGAGAAGAAAGGGAAAGCAGCCUGUACUCACCUUCAUGCCCAUGAGAGCACUGCCCUUGCGGAAAUGUCCUUUGGACCAGUCUGGGGCCAGCUGAAUGGAGCGUUCAGCAUCUGCCAGGGCCUGAGGG